UAAAAGGAAUGAUUGGGGCUGCUAACUCUGAUCAGGGGCUAAACUUGCUCCCCUUUUAU
rnacentral:tRNA from 1 species